GAACGGGCCGCGAGGAGACGUCCCGGAGGCCGGGCGGUGGCCUGGGCGACCCCGUGGGCCGGCGAGGCCCGAGGGCCGGUGCAGCAGCCCGGCGUCCGUGGGUCCAGUCCCGAGGGCGAUGUGCUGCUGACCGGGCGGUCACGGGCAUCCGGGUAGAACGAGUGUCAGGCAGGCUGGGGAGACAGCGGGAGCGGAUGUUCAUGGAGCCCUAGGAGACAAGUGUUCACGCCCGGGCGUUGCCUUGCGGCUGGACCUCUCUUUAAAGUGAUGGAGAAAGGCCCGAUGUAGGCUGCAGAUUGACCCAGAGCCGAGAUCCGCGUGGGCACGGCAGCUUAUGCCCCUCUUACUGGGCUGGGAGGAUGCGAGGAUCCAAGGACCGUGUAGCCACGAUGUUGUCAAGACUUUUCCGUAUGCAUGGCCUCUUCGUGGCCUCCCAUCCCUGGGAAGUUAUUGUGGGGACAGUGACACUCACCAUCUGUAUGAUGUCCAUGAACAUGUUUACUGGCAACAACAAGAUCUGUGGUUGGAAUUAUGAGUGCCCCAAAUUUGAAGAGGAUGUAUUGAGCAGUGACAUCAUCAUCCUCACCAUAACACGGUGCAUCGCCAUCCUGUACAUUUACUUUCAGUUCCAGAACUUACGUCAACUUGGGUCAAAAUAUAUUUUGGGUAUCGCUGGCCUGUUCACAAUCUUCUCCAGUUUUGUCUUUAGUACGGUUGUCAUUCACUUCCUAGACAAAGAGCUGACAGGCUUGAAUGAAGCUUUGCCCUUUUUCCUGCUUUUGAUUGACCUUUCUAGAGCGAGUGCACUAGCCAAGUUUGCCCUAAGUUCAAAUUCACAGGAUGAAGUAAGGGAAAAUAUAGCUCGUGGAAUGGCAGUUCUGGGUCCCACAUUCACCCUUGAUGCUCUUGUGGAAUGUCUUGUAAUUGGAGUUGGCACCAUGUCAGGGGUGCGGCAGCUGGAAAUCAUGUGCUGCUUUGGCUGCAUGUCUGUGCUUGCCAACUACUUCGUGUUCAUGACCUUUUUCCCAGCUUGUGUGUCCCUGGUCCUAGAGCUUUCUCGGGAGAGCCGAGAGGGUCGUCCAAUUUGGCAGCUCAGCCAUUUUGCCCGAGUUUUGGAAGAAGAAGAGAAUAAGCCAAACCCUGUAACCCAAAGGGUCAAGAUGAUUAUGUCUUUAGGCUUGGUUCUCGUUCACGCUCACAGUCGCUGGAUAGCUGAUCCCUCCCCUCAGAAUAGCACAACAGAACAUUCUAAGGUCUCUUUGGGACUGGAUGAAGAUGUGUCCAAGAGAAUUGAACCAAGUGUUUCUCUCUGGCAGUUUUAUCUCUCCAAGAUGAUCAGCAUGGACAUCGAACAAGUGAUUACCCUGAGUUUAGCUUUCCUGUUGGCUGUCAAGUACAUUUUCUUUGAACAAGCAGAGACAGAGUCAACACUCUCAUUAAAAAAUCCUAUUACAUCUCCUGUCGUGACCCCAAAGAAAGCCCAAGACAACUGUUGCAGACGUGAGCCUCUGCUUGUGAGAAGGAACCAGAAGCUUUCGUCAGUGGAGGAGGAGCUGGGAACAAACCAGGAUAGAAAAGUUGAGGUUAUAAAACCCCUAGUGGCGGAAGCUGAGACUGCAAGCAGAGCUACGUUUGUGCUUGGAGCCUCUGGAGCCAGCCCUCCGCUGGCCCUGGAGACACAGGAGCCUGAAAUUGAACUCCCCAGCAAGCCUCGGCCUAAUGAGGAGUGUCUGCAGAUCCUGGAGAGUGCCGAGAAAGGUGCAAAGUUCCUCAGUGAUGCAGAGAUCAUCCAGUUGGUCAAUGCCAAGCACAUCCCAGCCUACAAGUUGGAAACUCUAAUGGAGACUCAUGAACGGGGGGUAUCUAUUCGCCGGCAGCUCCUCUCCACAAAACUUCCGGAGCCUUCUUCUCUGCAGUACCUGCCUUACAGAGAUUAUAAUUACUCCCUGGUGAUGGGAGCUUGCUGUGAGAAUGUGAUCGGAUAUAUGCCCAUCCCUGUUGGAGUGGCAGGGCCCCUGUGCCUGGAUGGGAAAGAGUACCAGGUUCCAAUGGCAACAACGGAGGGCUGUCUUGUGGCCAGUACCAACAGAGGCUGCAGAGCAAUAGGUCUUGGUGGCGGUGCCAGCAGCCGGGUCCUUGCAGAUGGGAUGACCCGAGGCCCAGUGGUGCGACUUCCUCGUGCUUGUGACUCCGCAGAAGUGAAGGCCUGGCUUGAAACCCCAGAAGGCUUCGAAGUGAUAAAGGAGGCCUUCGAUAGCACCAGCAGAUUUGCACGUCUACAGAAACUUCAUGUGACUAUGGCAGGACGCAACCUAUACAUCCGUUUUCAGUCCAGGACGGGGGACGCCAUGGGGAUGAACAUGAUUUCCAAGGGCACAGAGAAGGCACUUCUGAAGCUUCAAGAGUUCUUCCCUGAAAUGCAGAUUCUGGCAGUCAGUGGUAACUACUGCACCGACAAGAAACCUGCCGCCAUAAACUGGAUCGAAGGGAGAGGGAAGACAGUCGUGUGUGAAGCUGUCAUUCCAGCCAAGGUGGUGAGGGAGGUAUUAAAGACGACUACGGAAGCGAUGAUUGACGUAAACAUUAACAAGAACCUGGUGGGUUCUGCCAUGGCCGGGAGCAUAGGAGGCUAUAACGCCCACGCAGCAAACAUCGUCACUGCUAUCUACAUUGCAUGUGGCCAGGAUGCAGCACAGAAUGUGGGUAGUUCAAACUGCAUUACUUUAAUGGAAGCAAGUGGUCCCACGAAUGAAGACUUGUAUAUCAGCUGCACCAUGCCAUCUAUAGAGAUCGGAACCGUGGGUGGUGGGACCAACCUCCUACCUCAGCAAGCUUGUCUGCAGAUGCUCGGUGUUCAAGGAGCGUGCAAAGACAAUCCUGGAGAACAUGCACGGCAGCUUGCCCGAAUUGUGUGUGGUACUGUGAUGGCUGGGGAGUUGUCCUUGAUGGCAGCAUUGGCAGCAGGACAUCUUGUCAGAAGUCACAUGGUUCACAACAGAUCGAAGAUAAAUUUACAAGAUCUGCAAGGAACGUGCACCAAGAAGGCAGCCUGAGCACCCUGACAGUACCGAACUAAACCCGGGCAUUGGGUUCUCAAGGACUAACAUGAAAUCUGUGAAUUAAAAAUCUCAAUGCAGUGUCUUGUGGAAGAUGAAUGGACGUGAUCAGUGAGUUCGGUCUUGGGAAGCUGACAUCUCGUGUAGAAGAUGGACUCUGAAACCAGACAUUCCAAGAGUACAGCGGCAUCAUGGGAGCCUCUUAGUGAUCAUGUGUCAGUAUUAUUGUGGAAGAUUAACUUUGCUGUUGUAUGUGAAGUUUCAAAUUGCUCCUCUUGUGACUUUUUAGCCAGUAACAUUUUAUUUACCUGAGCUUUUCAUGGAAGUGGCAGUGAAAAGCAUUGAGUGUUCAUGCUGGUGACUGUAACCAAUGUCAUCUUGCUAAAUUCCUGUUUUGUACAAUUACUAAAUUGUAUACAUUUUGUUAUAGAAUACUUUUUCCAAUUGAGUAAAUUAUGAAAGGAAGUUAACAUUGACAAA